rnacentral:rRNA from 1 species
CGCUCUUUGGGAUUAAUACAUAAAGAGUCGAGCCUGCCCAGUGAUACAUAUUUAACGGCCGCGGUACUCUGACCGUGCAAAGGUAGCAUAAUCAUUUGCCUUAUAAUUGAAGGCUAGUAUGAAUGGUUUGACGAAAACAAUACUGUCUCUCUCUAAUUUUAUAGAACUUGAUUUUUAGGUGAAGAAGCCUAAAUAAAAUUGAAAGACAAGAAGACCCUAUCGAGCUUAAAAAAAUUUUGUUAAAAUAAAAUGAUUAUAAAAGAACAUCUGUACCAAAAAAUUUUAGUUGGGGCGACUAAGGAACAUACAAAGCUUCCAUCACAGUAAUAAAGGCUUUUUAGCUAUGAUCCAAAAUCUUUGAUUAAAAGAAUUAGUUACCGUAGGGAUAACAGCAUAAUCUUUUUUGAGAGUUCUUAUCGAAAAAAAGGUUUGUGACCUCGAUGUUGGACUAGAAUAUCCUAAAUGAUGCAGAAGUCUUUAA